CUGGCCGCCUCAGCCCUCCCCAGCGUGGGUCCCGCGGACUCUGGCUGCCCGCCCCCCCCCCCCAGAGGCCGGUGGGCUGUGCGUUCCCCAGGCGUUCCCAGGCCAGCUGCUGGCUCCGCUUCCCGCUUAGAGCCACCCUGGCCACGCGGACGCGGCCACCCAGGGUUCGCCGCGGGCCGGCGGCGGGGGCCAGCAGGAGGCAGCGGGGGCAGGCAGAGGGCAGGAGCGGGGCACGCGGGACGGACGGACGGACGGACGCUGCCACAGGACUCAGGAUCACCGGCAUCUUCCCGCCUUCGGGCCGUCCCGGCCCCUCCCGGGCGGGGCCAAUUCCCACAGUGGGCUUGGGUAGGAAGGAGCCGGCCGGGCUGCCCCGCCGAGAGGCGCAGCCCCCGCCCGCCCUAUCCCCUCGAGCUCCGCCCUGCUCUCGACUCUCCGGACUUGGACAUGGCUGGAGAGCCCGGGCCGGGCCCUGCGCACCCGGGCCUCAAGCGGCCUCAGGGCACUGCCAGCCCCUGUAGGGUGUAUGAAUACCAAAGGAUCCCUCCACUCAUCAACCGCGUGCCUGUCAGGAUCCGGAGGACCCAGGUGGGCAUGGGGGUCAAAAGCAGCUUCCGUCUUCACACGGGCCCCAGGAAGAGCCACCUGCCCCGGGAGCAAAUAAAGCGGUCAGAGGACAGUGAAGAAAACAGAGGUCCAGAACUCCAGCAGGAGCCCCAGGGCCAGAAGGCCCAUCCAGAAGCAGACAGCUCUGAGGACAGCACAGACCCAAAGGAGGCAGUGAGUGGCCUGGCACCUCCCCCAUCCUCACCCUCCUUGCGUUUGGGUCCUUGUGGCUUCCCUGUGAACAAGGGAGAGACUCAGGUUUGUGCAGGAGCCCACAGUGGUGGCUGAGGGGACACAGGACUUCUGCCACAUGCAAUUCCCAGAAGAUGGCCCUGCACUGCUUUUUAUUCCCUCUCAUCUCGGGCUUGA
rnacentral:lncRNA from 1 species